UACGGGGGGGGCAAGCGUUGUUCGGAUUUACUGGGCGUAAAGGGCGCGUAGGCGGUCAGCACAAGUCAGUUGUGAAAUCUCCGGGCUUAACUCGGAAAGGUCAACUGAUACUGUGCGACUAGAGUGCAGAAGGGGCAACUGGAAUUCUCGGUGUAGCGGUGAAAUGCGUAGAUAUCGAGAGGAAUACCUGCGGCGAAGGCGGGUUGCUGGGCUGACACUGACGCUGAUGCGCGAAAGCCAGGGGAGCGAACGGG
rnacentral:rRNA from 1 species